rnacentral:rRNA from 1 species
UACGGGGGGGGCAAGCGUUGUUCGGAAUUACUGGGCGUAAAGGGCUCGUAGGUGGCCAACUAAGUCAGACGUGAAAUCCCUCGGCUUAACCGGGGAACUGCGUCUGAUACUGGAUGGCUUGAGUUUGGGAGAGGGAUGCGGAAUUCCAGGUGUAGCGGUGAAAUGCGUAGAUAUCAAGAGGAACACCUGCGGCGAAGGCGGGUUGCUGGGCCGACACUGACGCUGAGGCGCGAAAGCCAGGGGAGCGAACGGG